rnacentral:rRNA from 1 species
AAUCAACGCUGGCGGCGUGCCUCAGACAUGCAAGUCGAACGCGAAAGUCCCCCUCGGGGGACAAGUAGAGUGGCGCACGGGUGAGUAACACGUAGGUAAUCUACCUUCGGGUGGGGAAUAACAAUCGGAAACGGUUGCUAAUACCGCAUAAUGCAGCGGCACCUAAUGGUGACAGUUGUUAAAGCGGGGGAUCGCAAGAUCUCGCGCCUGAAGAGGAGCCUGCGGCGGAUUAGCUGGUUGGUAGGGUAAUGGCCUACCAAGGCGACGAUCCGUAGCCGGCCUGAGAGGGCGGUCGGCCACACUGACACUGACAUACGGGUCAGACUCCUACGGGAGGCAGCAGUCGGGAAUUUUUGGGCAAUGGGCGAAAGCCUGACCCAGCAACGCCGCGUGAAGGAUGAAAUCCCUCGGGAUGUAAACUUCGCAAGAACGGGAAAGAAUAAGUUUGUGCUAAUACCACAAGCGAUGA